UUCUUCCUCCUCCUUUCUCUCCGACCCUCUCCCUUCUCGUCCCCGCCCCGUCCCUCCCCACACCUGUCUUUUCCUUGUUUCUCCCCUCUCUGCCCCCUUCUCUCGGGGCCUCCCUCUGUCUCUGUUCCUCCCAUUUCUCUGCCUAUUCUCCCCUCUGAGUGGCCCCCUCUCUCCUCCUUCUAUUUGCCCUGCCCUUCCUCUCCCCUCCUCACGUCUGUCCCUUCUCUCCUCUCCUCGCUGAAUCUUUCCUUCUCCUCAUCCCUCCUCUUUCUCGCUCUCCAGUUUCUCUUUUUCUAGCCCCACGCACCUUCUUUCAGUCUCUCUCCUUUCCUUCCUCUCCCCUCCCAAUCUGUCGUCUCAUCUCUUCUUUCUCUCUCUGUCUCGGGAGGCCCCUGCCCUGCCCAGCACCCCCUCCCCCGCGCGUCGCCCUGAGGGCUCCAGGGGCUCGUCUCUCCCUUUCCCUCUCCUGCCCUUGGGGCUCUGAGGUUUCCAGGUUCUGCGCAGAUGGCGGAGUCGACCCAGGGAGCCCAGGGCCGGGCUGUCAAGCCACAGUCCCCGAGGUGGAAGGACCUUUGUGACACCCAUUUUCUCUCUUUUUCUGUCUGCCCUGGACUCUGGACAUCUGCCUGGAGGGAUCAAGUCUGCCCCAGGUGCAGGAAGGACGAAGCGAAGAACAGGCUCAGAGGCGGGGAGCAAGCUGCCUAAAGACUCACAGCGCGCAGCGUGAAGCACAGCAGCGGUGGGGAGGACCUCACACGACCCCACUUCACAGAUGAGAAAAUAGGCGCCUGGUGUUCCUGAGGACCAGCAUCUGCUAAGACAGAGACUUCAUGGGAACCCCAACCUUCCCAAAGGAUCGACAGUGCCCCCUCUAGGGCCCUUCUCUCUGCUGAGACGGACCACAUGGGUCAGCAUGAUGCCUGACCUCCCCCAGUACCGCCUGAGAGGCAUUCUCAGACUGGGUGUCAUCUUCCAUCGCCACCUACUGGCAAAGGACAAAACUGCAACCCAGCUCUAAUAAACACUGGGAAUGACCUCGACAAAAAAGGACAGUGCCAGGGGGUGGGAGGGGGCUGGGGGACAGGAAAGGGAGAAUUUGCAAAAUUCUGUAAAAAUUAAAAACUUUACUCCUAACCAAUACAUAAA